GAUGAACGCUGGCGGCGUGCUUAACACAUGCAAGUCGAACGAUGAAGCCUUAACUUUCUUUGGUGGAUUAUUGGCGAACGGGUGAGUAACACGUGAGCAACGUGCCCAUGACUCUGGAAUAACCUCGGGAAACCGUGGCUAAUACCGGAUAGGUUCCGAUGCCCCAUGGUCUUCGGUUGUAAAGUUUUUGCGGUUCUGGAUCGGCUGACGGCCUAUCAGCUUGUUGGUGGGUUAAUGGCGUACCACGGCGACGACGGUUAGCCGACCUGCGAAGGUGACCGGCCACCAUGGGACUGCGGGAGGGACCAGUAGGGAACGGGAGGCAGUAGUGGAGAGUCUUGCACAACGGGCGCAAGCCUGAUGCAGCAGCGCUGGGUGGGGGAUGCCGGCUUUUGGGUUGUAAACCUCUUUUAGUAGGGAAGAAGCGCAAGUGACGGUACCUGAAGAAAAAGCACCGGCUAACUACGUG
rnacentral:rRNA from 1 species